rnacentral:rRNA from 1 species
AUUGAACGCUGGCGGCAGGCCUAACACAUGCAAGUCGAACGAGUGGCGGACGGGUGAGAAAGUUCGGGGAACCUGCCGAAUGGAGGGGGAUAAUAAUUGGAACCGGUAGCUAAUACCCAAUACAAUCGAUUGUCCCCAGAUGGGAUUGGCUAGAAGGUGGGGUAAAGGCUCACCUAGGCGACGAUCCCAAGCUGGUCUGAGAGGAUGACCAGCCACACUGGAACUGAGACACGGUCCAGACUCCUACGGGAGGCAGCAGUGGGGAAUAUUGCACAAUGGGCGCAAGCCUGAUGCAGCCAUGCCGCGUGUAUGAAGAAGGCCUUCGGGUUGUAAAGUACUUUCAGCGGGGAGGCGUUACCCGCAGAAGAAGCACCGGCUAACUCCGUGCCAGCAGCCGCGGUAAUAC